GCCCUCCAUUCCUUUUGGCAGGCUUAGGUUUUCUGGUCUGCAAAGUAUUGAGAUCAUACCCUUGGAAACAUGAUUUAGAGGAUUUGAACAUAUUCCAUAAGAAAUGGCUAGUGAGCAGUAUCGCCAAUUCUGGGCAGGCUUCAUUGAAAUUUAUCAUUAGAAUGAGUACGUGUGGAGAGUGAAGAGCGCGGACUAUUCCAACAGGACCAAGAAGAAUCGGGCAUUUCAACAGUUGAUCGAGUACAGUAGAGGCCAAAACAGUUCUGUGGACAUUGCUUGGGUGAAGAAGAUUGCUAAUUUCCGAACAGUCUUCAUAAAGGAGCACAAGAAGGUGGAAGAUUCACAGCAAUCCGGAGCUGGGACAGAUGAGGUCUAUAAGCUGACGCUGUGGUACUAUGACCUCUUCAAGUUCACAUUGGAGCAGGAGCCGCUGACAAGGUCACUGGGAAGUCUGGAUCCAGAAUCUCCAAUUCUCGUGGAAGAGGAGGCCCAGGAGAGCCUGGAUCUAGAUCUUACCCAGGAGCUGGAGGUGGAGCAGUCGACUCCGGAAUCUGCAGAGGUGGUCGAGUCUGAGGAAUCAGCAGCACCUCAGCCACGUCCUCCCAAACAACGGAGGACAUCCAGGAGGAUCACCUCUGCCGCCUCCAGCUCACAGCAGUUUUUUGCACAUGCUGAUUAGGCCCCCGGAUUCUGAACAAACCAUUGCCAAUUUCAUCGCGGCGGAGAUGAGGCAGAUGACUGAGGAUUAAAAGAGGAUCGACAAGUGCCUGGUACUUGAUGCUACCACACGUGUCAUCGAUUGGACACUGGUCGAUGAGUGGGAGAUAGUUCUGCAGCGUUGGUUUUAUGACCUCAUUUUCCCCGACUUUUGAUCGUUGUGAUGAGUCCACUCCUUGUGCUCCUUCAAGAGACUUCGGAAAUGUGCACUAUUUCUUCUUCACCCAGUGCAUGUUCGCAGCACUGUUAGCCUCUACUGUACUGUUGUAAGAGUUAUGCCCGAUUCUUCUAAUGUUCUGUUGGGAUAGUCCAAGUAAAAAGGGCACUUAUUCUCAUUAUACAGUCAAUGAAACCAGCCCAGAAUUGGCUGUAU